AUUGAACGCUGGCGGCAGGCCUAACACAUGCAAGUCGAGCGGAGCGAGGGACGGGUGAGUAAUGCAUAGGUAUCUGCCUGGUCGUGGGGGAUAGCGUACGGAACGGGGUGCUAAUACCGCAUACUAUCAGAUGAGCCUAGGUCGGUUUAGCGAGUUGGUGGGGGAAAGGCCUACCAAGGCGACGAUCCGUAACUGGUCUGAGAGGAUGACCAGCCACACUGGAACUGAGACACGGGCCAGACUCCUACGGGAGGCAGCAGUGGGGAAUAUUGCACAAUGGGCGCAAGCCUGAUGCAGCCAUGCCGCGGGUAUGAAGAAGGCCUUAGGGUUGUAAAGUACUUUCAGCGGGGAGGCGUUACCCGCAGAAGAAGCACCGGCUAACUCCGUGCCAGCAGCCGCGGUAAUUC
rnacentral:rRNA from 1 species